CCUACGGGAGGCAGCAGUGGGGAAUAUUGGACAAUGGGGGAAACCCUGAUCCAGCGACGCCGCGGGAGUGAAGAAGUAUUUCGGUACGUAAAGCUCUAUCAGCAGGAAAGAAAAUGACGGUACCUGACUAAGAAGCCCCGGCUAACUACGUGCCAGCAGCCGCGGUAAUACGUAGGGGGCAAGCGUUAGCCGGAUUUACUGGGUGGAAAGGGAGCGUAGACGGCAGCGCAAGUCUGGAGUGAAAUGCCGGGGCCCAACCCCGGAACUGCUCUGGAAACUGGGAAGCUGGAGUGCAGGAGAGGUAAGCGGAAUUCCUGGUGUAGCGGUGAAAUGCGUAGAUAUCAGGAGGAACACCGGCGGCGAAGGCGGCUUACUGGACUGUAACUGACGUUGAGGCUCGAAGGCGUGGGGAGCAAACAGGAUUAGAUACCCCAGUAGUC
rnacentral:rRNA from 1 species